ensembl:lncRNA
UAUAAAUCCCAGCGCAGAGAUCCACCAAGCUCAUUGUGAGAAAGCCCUGUUUCUUGGGAUAGCAUCAUGCAAUGAUACAGGUCCCUAUGAAGUUAUGCACAAUGCAAUUGAAGAGGCAUGUUAUGUCAGGCAAGAAAGAAGCUGAAGAGCUAUACUGCCUUGAGGAAGAAAGCGUAUCUACUGUGAAUUACAGACAGGAAAGAGGAUAUUCUCAGUUAAUUCUACAAGCAAAAAUCAAAUGGGAAGAAUAAUCAGAGGAGCAUCCGUCAGAUCUUCCUCCCCCUGCCCCUCCACACUGAAAAAAAAAAGGAUGCAAGAAAGCAUAAUUCUGAAGAGCACUGCUGAAUACAAUCCAGAUCUGACUUCAAGCAAAUCUCUUAGCUAUUAGUGGUUCCAUGAAUCUUUUUCUGAAAGAAGAACGCAGCUGAAUUUGAUGCCAGGGCUGCAGACACAGAAACAGAGAGCAAUGCAAAAUCCUGUAAAAACACGGAAAAGAUUUCCCUCCCAUAACAUCCAGAAGGUAUCACUUUGCAAUCUUUAUUAGGCAGUCCCUGCUCCUGAGCUCACCACAGAAGCAGUGCCCAAGACGUUCCUUCCCUACCACGGCUCCUAUUUCCAUUAGUCAUAGUGCCAUCACUCACACUGGGUGCCAACAGCACUUCGUCUUCUCUGCAAAGCUUAACUGUGUGUUACCGGAUUUACUCAAUUCUGACCAAUAAGCAGUAUCUCAAUUAUCCUGUAUUUUGUUACAUACCAUAAACAUUCCAUUAAAAAUAGCCCAAAUUCUUUGUUAUUAUUUAGCGAUGAAGGCCCAGGUUUCGUUGCCAGGCACAGGCUAAAUGGCACAGUCGAUAGGACCCUUCAGAACAUUUCCCGAAAAAACAUGCUAUUUACAGACAUUAAAAGUUAAACCAAACAUUCUUAGCAAACCAUUCAUUUAUUUUCUAUUGUCUGUUUUAUCCCAUUUCCUUAUUAUCAAGCCUUUGUCUCCUGUGCAAGUCUAUCUUGCCAUACCAAAGAGGAAGCACUGUUGAGAAUGCCCAUCUCCACACAGAUAAGGAAGCAGAUUUACAUCCAAGGAACAAUUAACACACAUGAAAAGUCACCAUGUUUUGAAUAGGGCAGAAUAGCCAGUAACUUUGAAGUGUGAGGUCUGGUAGAUUGAAGCUAAUGUUUAAAAUGGAGAAAGCAUCUUGUAUCACCAUCCUAUCCACUCAUAUACUACUGAUAAUUGUGCUUAGAUUUAGAGAAAAUCCUUUUUCACUGGCUUUCAAAUAGCCACUGAAUAAGUGACAUCAGUAGUACAAUAUGGAUUUCAUAAUAACACACUGACAGUAAAAAAAAGGCUGUCAAGCACAUUCCUGAAAGUGCAUUGCUAUUUUCCUAACUUGACUGCUGCACUGUCUCUUAUAUUCCUUCCCUUCUAAAAGUCUUAGACCUGAAAGCUCAAAAUGCUGCUUAUUCGCUGGUUUUCAUGUAACGACUAUACUGAUGAGUCAGAAACAUUGUUACUAACAUCUCAUUUAGUUUCACCUGCUGAAAAUGGAAAACAGCCAAAAUAAAAAAGCAAUUGGAAGAAUAUUGAUGAGCAAUAAACUUCUCUUAUUUCACUACAAAAUUCUUGAAAUUCCAUCCUUCCGAUUGCUCACAAACCCAGAUGAGUACACACACACAAUGACACACAAGUUCAGCCUCUGUUUACAUGCUUGCAGAUGAGUUCAGUACUACAUGAUCUUUAUCAGUGUUACUACAAAAUGCCUUUACAGACAUGUCUAUGACACUUCAUAGAAUCACGGAAUCAUAGAAUCACUCAGGUUGGAAAAGACCUCAAAGAUCAUCGAGUCCAACCACAACCUAAACAUAGUACCCUAACUAACAACCCUCUGCUAAAUCAUGUCCCCGAACACCACAUCCAAACAGUUUUUAAACACAUCCAGGGAUGGUGACUCAACCACUGCCCUGGGGAGCCCAUUCCAGUGCUUAACAACCCUUUCUGUAAAGAAGUUCUUCCUGAUGUCCAACCUAAACUUCCCCUGGCGCAACUUGAGGCCAUUUCCCCUCAUUCUGUCACCUGUCAGCAGUGAGAAGAGACCAACCCCACUCUCACUGUAAGCACCUUUUGGGUAUUUGAAGAGAGCAAUAAGGUCUCCCCUCAGCCUCCUUUUCCCCAGACUACACAGCCCCAGUUUUCUCAGCCUCUCCUCAUAGGGCAUAGUCUUCAAGCGCUUCACCCCUUCACAAGCCUUGUUGCCCUUCUUUGGACCUGCUCCAACACCUCAAUGUCCUUUGCCCAAAACUGAACACAGUACUCGAGGUGAGGCCUCACCAGUGCCGAGUACAGGGGCAGGAUUACUUCCCUACUCCUGCUCACCACACCACUCCUGAUACAAGCCAGGAUGCCACUGGCCUUCCUGGCCACCUGAGCACACUGUUGGCUCACAUUCAGCUGACUGUCCAUCAGUACACCGAGGUCCCUUUCCAUCAAGCAGCUUUCCAGCUACUCAUUCCCAAGCAUGUAGGGUAGCCUGGGGUUGUUGAGUCCAAAAUGGAGGACCCGACAAUUGGCCCUAUUGAAACUCACACAGUCUGUCUUCACCCAUCGAUGCAGUCUACCCAGGUCCCUUUGUUGUGCCCUUCUCCCCUCAGGAAGAUCAACACUCCCUCCCAGCUUGGUGUCGUCCACAAACUUCAGAAGCAGUUGAAAUGGAUUUGGGGUUGCCAGCAGGUUUAUCUUUUUUACCACCAAAUAACAGAGCAGACAGUAUACCCUUGGUAUUUUUCACAGUCUGACAUUUUUUUCAAAAGUACCAAUUUGUAAAGCGAAGAUAUAAACCAGAUUCAUCUGACUUUUUCAUCCCUCUAAAACAACUGCACUCUUUCCUUGGGGUAUACCUGAAAGCUUGAAAUUGAAAUAACGCAUAUCUCACAGGGAAACACAAAUUGUAUGAUAAAAUACACCCAAAAUAUCUCUGGGUAUCCUCACUUUAAUAUAAUUCUUGUACAUAGAAAAUGAAAAUCUUUCACCUUCCCUCACCUGUCUUCAAUAAUAAAUGCUGCGCACACAUCAAUAUCAGUAUAUCAUGUAUUGCUUCAGGUACACCACUCAGAUGAAUACAUAUUUCUCACUCUAAGUAGAGAACUGACUUCAGAGAAAACAAAAAAUCCAGCUCUUACACUCUGCAGUUUAGGGGACAUUGUUAGUAAGUGGAGGUUGGACAGAAGCAGGGCCUGACGGGAUUCCACACAGGCACAGUGCAAACCGGGCCCUGGUGACUCCGCAUGCCCAGCUCCAGGCAGACCUGGCUGCUGCACGUUGACCAGCUCUGCGCUGAGCGAGCAGCCAGAUGUGUGUCAGCCCCACUUCUGGCUCCCACUUCCUGUGUUUCAAAAAAGUUUCAUUCAUCUCUAAUGAGUAGAGACUGAAACUGACAAAAUAUUUCACAUUUCCAAUGCCUCAUAAAACUUCAAACUUCUUACAAACUGCUUUCAAUUUCACUCAGUAUUUUCCUGUAUUUUUAUCAUUCUACAUCAAACACUAUGAUUCAUCCUCCACUUCAAUGACAAAUAGAAGCUUAAGGGGAAGAUAACAUCUUUUCCUGUGAAAGUAUCUGUUAUUUCCUGUCCUGAAUAACAAGGUUUCUAAAGAUUAAAUGAACUUUUGGAAAAAGCACAGCAAGUUCAUAAAAAGCCCUUAAUCUGAAUGCUAUAGGAAGCCAAAUUACAAAGUUUUUUUUCCACAUUUCAGACAUACUGAAUUAGAUACAAACAAUAUCAUUCAUAAUGCGCCUAUUUUCACAUCGGAGAAAAUGACAGAUACUAAAGGCAAAUGUCCCAACUCAGACAAAUCAAAAUACCAAAUACUGUACCAUUUAAUGAGCCAAUUGGUUUCAGAGGUGUGGGACAACCUGUAGCUUGUUCUGCCUACCAAGAUGCAGGUUUCUUCUGUCUAAAACCGAUGCUGUUCAUUAUGCUGUAAACAAGAGAAAGAAGAGCCUGAAGAGGUCAGUAGGAGAAGCAAGCAUUAUCAAGGCUGAUGGGAAAGUUAAAAGAAUUUUCUCCCACCAUCUUGUUUAAGAUCUAACUGUUCUAAUAACAGGACUGAAAUCAAGUUUAGUCAUUUUGUUCUUGACAUGAAACCCUACGAUUUCAUCUUUAUAAAGAUGCUUCAAACAGAAAAGAAAGUAGCUGCCAAAAGACAAUUCUGAAAGAUCCCCAUGAGGGGGAAAAAGCCCACCUGUCCAAUCUCUUGGCAUUUAUUAUCAAAACUCCUGACAAGAAAUGAACUAAUUGUUCCAUUAUAUUGCAUAAGUUUCUAAUACAAAUCCAUAAAUAUUAAUUCACGUAAGAAACUUCUUGGCAGCUAUUUUGAGUUAAGGACAACUGAUUUAUUUCCAGAUCAACGGCACAGUUUUCUAGGUAACCAUAUUUAAAAAUCAUAACUUUCCUCAAAAGUGCUCCUAAAUGUUAUCAUUGUGAGUAGAUCACCUAUCAAGUUAAGAAAGAUAGGAAAAGGUAGAUUUAUUCAGAACAACCUAGAAAGAAAUAUGGAAAGAUUUUAUUCAAAGUUCUUAAUUAUCUUGCAACAACACUGGUUGUUAGAAUACAGAGACAAAAGUACUCCUGCAGGCAGCACUAGAUGGUUUUUGCUUCCCAAAAUUUAGUACAUCUACAGAAACGUAAGUGUAAGUGAUCACAGAACGUAUGGGUCUCAACUAUGAUUAAUCUACAGCAGCAAUUACAAGGAAGUUCACAUUGCUUAUUAUUUUUGACCCUGUUUCUCUUUUUUCUGCUCUUCUUAGAAAUGUCAUUUUAAAAUUACAUCUCUGUGUGAAAGCACUGAACUUGUACUGUGUUCUCCUAUCUUUAUUCUUUCCCACAGUGCACCAGUUUUUAUUUCUGAUGAGUACUUAAAUCAUGUUUCUGUUUGCUCUAUCAACCACUUUCUCUGGCUGUAAGCACAGUGAAACCUCUGAUCCUCACAGGGAGUAACCAUUGAACCUGUCAGGGUUAAUGGUAUUAUGGGUUGCAGGUUUUACUCCACACUCUCCAAAAGGCAGGAGGAGAGUCCUGUAGCCUGACCUCCAUAGCUGUGCUGCUUGCCAGAGAGGGUAGGAGGAGGAAUGGCUAAGGGAGCCAGGCACGCUUCUUUGUUUUCAGUAAACAUUGCCUGGAAAAUGGGCCUGCAUUAUAGCACAGAUUACAGACCAAGAUAGAUAGCGGUUGGCUGUGCUAGAGAAGCUCUCUGAGAGGAAUGACAGAGUUGGCCUCAGGAGGAACGUGCCAGAGAAUCAAGCAGCAGUUGGUGCACACCGGUCUUGGUGUGGUAGCUGAAGGGUGUAGCAAGAAUAGACAAAUUAAUUACAUCCUCUGCUACCACUCCAACUGUGCUUAUUGCUUUUCUGCACAGCUGAGAAUGCAUCAAAGGCUCAGUCUUUGUAUUGUCAGCUACCCCCUAAAAAUGAUUUUCGAGGGCAUAUACGCUAUUGUAACUGCAUCUCAUUAACCAAGGCACUGUUUGUGGUGCCUUUGAAAGCAGUUUCCAGCUGUUUGGUAUUCCAUGGUAGUGUGGCUGCACUGUUGGAACAAGCUAGUUCAAAGACAGAUGGAGAAGUCUGCACUAAUUUCAGCACAUAAUACUUCCUUUCUCCAGAUGGAAACAGCCUGACCCAAACCAAUUUGGAUUCAAAGAGCAGUGUGAAAUGCAUUCCUAGGGAAGCCACUGAAAUGGUAGAGCAGGUUUGAAACUCUUUUACUGAGGAGAUGACCCAGUCUAAAUGGAGGCAGAGGGAUGGCGACACUGCAGGUGCAGGACAUGUCCUGUAUGGUAUGUCCUUUUGGGGGAGUACGGUCUGAGUGCCUGGAUCAAUUUUUGUCCCAAACCUACAUUUCCCUUGUGGAAGGAAGGCAGGAAGGAAGGAAGGAAGGAAGGCAGGAAGGCAGGAAGGCAGGAAGGCAGGAAGGCAGGAAGGCAGGAAGGCAGGAAGGCAGGAAGGCAGGCAGGAAGGCAGGCAGGCAGGAAGGCAGGAAGGCAGGAAGGCAGGAAGGCAGGAAGGCAGGAAGGCAGGAAGGCAGGAAGGCAGGAAGGCAGGAAGGCAGGAAGGCAGGAAGGCAGGAAGGAAGGCAGGAAGGAAGGCAGGAAGGAAGGCAGGAAGGAAGGCAGGAAGGAAGGCAGGAAGGCAGGAAGGCAGGAAGGCAGGAAGGCAGGAAGGCAGGAAGGCAGGAAGGCAGGAAGGCAGGAAGGCAGGAAGGCAGGAAGGCAGGAAGGCAGGCAGGCAGGCAG